rnacentral:misc_RNA from 1 species
AGAGAGAGAGAGAGAGAGAACUGGAAAGGGCUUUGGAUAGGCCUGCUUGCAAAAGUCUUAAAAGUCUGGAUCCAAAUGUUACCACACGAGGAUUAACCCAUUCCCACUAACGCGAGUGUUCUCCUUGUCUGGUAUUGAUUUUUUUUUUUUCCUUUAAUAAUUUAAUUAUUGUGUUUAAUUUAAUUAAUCAAACCACCACCCAUGACUGCGAUUGUCUUGCCGUGCGGUGAAGGCAUAGCUAUUGAGUAACCCAAUUGCCAAUACCAAGCCCACUACAGUAACCGGUAAUUGUCCAUUUUGGAAUAUCCAAUAUUACACACUUCCUAUUUCCUAACACUGCUUCGUGCCUUCCUGUUUCGUAACCAUCCCAAAAUCCACACAUCAGCAGGUUCAUUUCAAGAAACAAGACCAGAUUGGCUUUGUGGUUCCUACUCUUUUAUUUAUGAGAUAGUGGGAGUUACUUUCCCCAUUGCAAUGUUGCCAUUCAAACCUGCAAAGUAGCAAUCUCUUUCUGCAGUUUACUCGAUAUGCGUUCAAAGAACUAGCUUACAUCCUAAUUACGAGAAUAAAGCCUUCAUUUCAAACUUUGCUAAAUGCUCAACAUCGCUCAAAAACUUUAAUAAGCACAAAAAAUGUCACGCCAGCCAAUUUGGAUAUGAAAAUACAACAUCCCGUAUUUGAAGCCAUCUGGUUGGAAAACCCAAGCCCACAACCAAUUAUAAAACACGACUAGGAUUCCGCAGCGGCGGCAUUGGUCCUUUCUCUCACCAUUGUCUUCACAAACAGCUCCCCCGCCCUAUAAGAGGACCGAACCAGAGGCCCACUGGCUACAAAUCGGAAUCCAAUAGACUCUCCAUAUUCCUUCCAGAAUGAAAAUUUCUCUGGUGUAACAUACUCUUUAACAGUCAAGUGUAAGGGACUUGGCUGAAGUACAUAAACAUUCUUGAAUUAAUAAUGUUCAGAGUAGAUUCAUUCCAGUAACAUCAUAUAACAAAAUAAACUAAUGAAUGCCUGAGCAGUUAAUCAGUAAGCUCAAACCAUUGUUUAUCAAAAAUUCAAAAUCAAAAUCAGUAUUCCAAAACUGCACCAGAAUAUGUCCAACUUCAUAAAUGUAGUCAGACUAAGAUCUGCCAAACUAGAGAACUAAUUCUGCAUGCUUGAAGCUAAAUGAUUAUCCAAAGCCUCACAAUGUUGCAGAUGAAGCAUCCAAGCUAAAACUAUGAGAACAAAUUCACAUGUAAGGUACCUGUAAAUAUUGUCCAAGUGUCAAAAUAUCAACAUCAAUUGCCCUUAAAUCAGCCAUAGCUUCCUUCAACUCAUCAUCAGUUUCCCCAAGACCCAGCAUUAUAGAAGAUUUUGUUAUCAUUCCCUCCUUACGGAGCUUAGCAUGUUUCAAAACUGAUAAACUUUGUUCAUACCCAGCUCGAGGGUCCCUAACAAUUCGUUGCAGCCGUUUCACAGUCUCAAUGUUGUGGGCAAAAACAUCUAAACCCGAAUGUACCAAAGUUUCUACAGCCUUUAAGUCACCACGAAAAUCAGAGGUUAAGCACUCUAUCAUGAUCUUAGGCUUUAGUUUCUGCAAGUGAGUUCAAAUCUGUAAUUUAUGUUCAAAUCUGUUCUGCAAAAGCACCACAGCACGAGAACCAGAUAGUAACUCAACAAAAAAAAGUCUGACAGAAAUACAGACCUUCAUAGCUUGAACAGUCUGGGCAAAAUGUCCACUUCCACCAUCAGGAAGAUCAUCUCUAUCUACACUCGUUAGUACAAUAUAGUCCACACUACAAAAAUUGAAAAACACAGAUGUAAUUUUAAAAAUGUACUUGAGAUGAUUAGAGGUACAAAAAAAUGCAAUCUAAAAAGAACGGCACUACGAUGAGAAUCACUCAACUAAAAGGAUGAAUCUCCUAAAUUGUCAAGGUUGAUAUCAAUCUCAUCACCAAAUUUGGAGGGGGCAGAAAGAAAAAAGGGAAACUACUGUGCACGUGUCUCGUGAGAAAGAGAAGAGAAGCACGAUAACUGUAAGAGCCUGAUGCAUUGUUUUCAAUUGGAAAUUUCCACCUAACACCCAAUUCGAGAGGAUGCAAUCGAAGGAUUUCCAAUGGUACAACCAUCUAUAAAAUGAUAAUUAUAUGACCUUGUUUCAGGAAAACACUGGCAAUUGAUAGGUAAUAAUGGGCUGUAUAGCAAGAAUCUAAUGGAAUGAUUUUAAAUUGGGUUGAAGCAAUUAAAGAUGAGGAUUUAGGAAAAGGAAGCUUCAUGGUAGUUCCGAUUAUAACACAAGAUGGUGAUAGAAAUUGAGCAGGCAAAAGCAUCUUAUUACUGCAUAGAAGUUGGUUUCGUAAAAGAAAAGGAUAUCGAAGAGUUUGAGGUACCCCCAGCUUGCAAUGGCCUGAGCAGUGUUUAGAGGCUCCGUAGGAUCAGGGGGUGCAGGAUUUCUGCUGGUUUUAACGGCACAAAAUCUGCAACCACGAGUACAUGUAUCCCCGAGAAGCAUGAUAGUAGCGGUUGCAAUACCGUCGCCGCCCCCAUUCCAACAGUCACCAAUGUUGGGGCAUUGAGCUUCCUCGCAGACAGUGUUGAGAUUCAAGCGAGAGAGAGAGUGUUUGACCUCUUGAAACCUAUCCCCUUGAGGAGCUCUCUGCCUCAACCACUCAGGCUUCUUCACAUUGGGAUCUCUCCCAGUGUGUGAACCCAUCAUUCCGCCUGGGUAGGGCCCCUUCUUCUUGGCAGCCGAGGAAUCAUUGUGAAUCUCAAUUGCAGCAUUGGAUGAAUCCACAGAUAAACAUCGAAUUUGUGAAGGAGAAGUACAUUUGUAGUUAUAGAAAUAGGAAUGGGAAUGAUAAGAAGAGAAAUGAAAGAAUCUGGGGAUGGAGAUUGAAGGAUUAGAAAGGGAUUGCACCAUCAUUUGCGUUUGAGCGAUGUUUGCCGAAAAUUGAAGAACCCAAGUUUCAAUUACAAUUAUAAUUUACAGAAAGGAAAUGUUUCAUUGAACUAUCCGCCCUCGUCAUCUAAUAAGCCACUUUUGCUUGUCGGGUUGGGUCAUGGUUGGGAUAUCUAAUUUCG